rnacentral:rRNA from 1 species
GACGAACCGUUCGAACGUUAUUCGGAAUCACUGGGCUUAAAGGGUGCGUAGGCGGCGCGACAAGUUGGGUGUGAAAUCCCUCGGCUCAACCGAGGAACUGCGCCCAAAACUGUCGUGCUCGAGGGAGACAGAGGUGAGCGGAACUUAGGGUGGAGCGGUGAAAUGCGUUGAUAUCCUAAGGAACACCGGUGGCGAAAGCGGCUCACUGGGUCUCUUCUGACGCUGAGGCACGAAAGCUAGGGUAGCGAACGGG